ACUUCAAAGUGUACUAAAAAUGCUACUACAAGUAUUUAAUUAGUAAAUGAUCAGUAUACCUAUAAGUUCACUUUUAGUAUAGUUGCAGUACAAGCUAAAAACUCUGAUGUAAACUAGUUGUGUACUCAAAGUUUACUACUGUUAUACUUAAAAGUAUACAUUUAUAUACUAGAAAGUGGGCCAAUUUAGUCCCACACUGUAAAAAAAAGUCCGUAAAAAUACAGUACAAUAUACCGUAAUAAUUUGAAGGAAUUUUCCGUAUUUGGUUUUUACAGGUGUUUUUCCGUAUUUUUUAAAUUACGCUUUGCAUUGUGGGAACAAGAAGCUCAGUCGAUUAUCGGCGCGAAAACAGUGCUAGAGCAGGCGCCAUUAUUCACAAAGAUCAAAAUUUCAUUUUAAAGUCGGAUUUCGGGUUUGGGGAACUGUUCUUACACUUCCGUGGUAAAUUAGUUUUUGUUAAAUGUAACAUAAACUGUAACUUUAACUAGUUUCUGUCUAGCUUGUUUGGCAAAUGAAUGUCCUAGCCGUCAUAUUCAACAUUUUCAGCACACCGUCACAUCUUACUCGACGACGUGGAGGUUACGUUAAGUUGUUACAGUGUUCUCACUUUUAGUUUUAUAAUUAAGAGUUAAUUAACUUUUUAAUUGUUGUUGCGGUGUAUUUGUUGCAUGUCAUAAAGCAUCGGCAUAUUAACGUUACUGAGGUGAUGUUAAGCAGCUGUAAGAACUUUAAAUCUGAGGCACAACUGUGUUUAGAGCGCUUUAUGCCUUCAACAGGAGCUGGCAGAGGAAUUGUCAAGAAAAGAAGACACCAUUUACGACUUUUUUUAGUUUUUUUUAAAAGAGAUUAAGAUAAGACUGACAUCGCAUAAUUCUUCAAGGAUAACACGCCUUUUAUGCCAAACGAGGUCUAAUUGCUGCUGCUGUACUGUACACCCCAAGACUUGGGUAAAGUUGGUUUUAUAUUCGCACAUUCGGACUAUUGCAUUUAAUUGCUUUGUUAACCGCACUAGAUUGGACAUUCAGCGGAUAUUCGCAAGUAAGUAUGACAUUAAAACAAUACUUGGCCAUUUUGUUCGAUGGUGAAAAAAAGGUAGUAGGUUGACAAUGAUGUCUCCAAUUAGAAUUUGCAAAAGAAACAUUUUUUGCACAUAUAAUUAGAAAGUUAUUGAACGCGGAAAUGUCGUGAAUAUUGUGAAUGUGCGAAUAUAAAACCAACUUUACCCAAGUCUGCAUUCUUAUCAUGGGUUUGUAUUCUGUUUUAUUUAUUAACUGUUUUUAUUUUGUUUACCAUUAGGCCUGUUCAAUACUGACAAAAAAAUUAGUAAUUGAGUCAUUUAUUCAGUUGACUUUUGUUUGUGUUGGAAAGAUUUAAUCAAUGUUUGGAGUGGUUUUCUGAAUUCACCAUGUUUUUUAUAAUUUCUGAUUUGUUACUGGUAAUUCCAGAUUGCUGUCAUUCAAGAAGUUAUCAUUUCCUCCCAUUGUGGCUGAGCUACACAUUCUCUUUUUAAACAUAAAACAUCCAGAGAACAUGGCACCUACGCUGGAAUCCAUACAAAUUCUUCCUGUGAAGAAAUCCUGAACGAGGGUCAAAGGUUGAGAUGAUGGGAACCAAGACUUUGAGAAUCCAUGUACAAUUUGAGCUUUUUUCAAAUCUCAACAUGGAACUUGGACUGAACAUGCAGAAAAAAAGAAAAAAAAGUAUUUUCCACAAACUGGCACAUGGCAAGAGAUAUUAAAAGCACACAAGUUUAGUUUAGUAUAGUUGUAUAGUAUAGUUUCACAUUGAAAUGUGAGGCAUGAGUGCAUGAAUCUUUGUUUUUUUUAUUUUCAAAUGUACAAAAAAGUAUUUUUUGCAGUACCAUGGCAAUUGUAGAUGCAGAUAAUUUAGCAUGAAUUAGAGGUUAGUAAUCUAACUUAAAGGGUUAGUUCACCCAAAAUGUUAUAUGAAAAAUCUUGUUCCAAUCCUGUUAGACUUUUGUUCAUUUUUGGAACACUAAUGAAGAUCCUUUUUAAUGAAAUCUGACAGCUAUACCUUAUUGGACCUUGAAAUGGUAGUUGUCAAUGGAGGGACAGAAAGCACAGAGAUUUAAUUAAAAAUACACUUUGUUUGUGUUCCAAAGAUGAAUGAAAAUCUUAUGGAUUUGAUACGGUAUGAGGGUGAGUAACUGAUGUAACUUCACAUUUUUGGGUGAACUGUCCUUUUAAAUAAUAUUGUGUUCUUCUAUAGGUUAAAUGGGGUAAACACUGGAACAUUUCACUUGACUAUUGACUGUAAGUUAUUAAUGUUAUUAAUGACAGCCCUGUCUUUGUAUUAAUUUAUUUCCCCAUGUAUUUGAAAAUAUUUUUAAUCUUUCAAACUGUUUCACAAUGAAGUUUAUCUUUGUGACCACUAUUUGGUGCAACACCAAGUCAAGUACCUGCUCAUGUUUUCUUUUUUCUGCAUGUUGCUGUUUAAAACUAUAAAGUGUUCCACAAUACAAGCAUUUUCAGUGGUGCUUUACACAUUGUUAAAUUAAUUGAUGUAAUAAUAUUUUUGUCUUCACCUGUUUAAGGCAAAUAAAAGCUACUGAACACACUUUUAAGAAUGUUUACAUGAGGUAAAAAUAA